CCAAUAGCGUAUAUUAAAGUUGUUGCAGUUAAAAAGCUCGUAGUUGAAUUUCGAGACCGGUCUACUGGUCGUGCUUUUGUACGUACUGGUUUUAUCGGUUUCUCCUUUCUGACGAACUAUAAUGCCAUUAAUUUGGUGUUAUAGGGAAUCAGGACUGUUACUUUGAAAAAAUUAGAGUGUUUAAAGCAGGCUCACGCUUGAAUACAUUAGCAUGGAAUAACGGAAUAGGACGUUUGAUUCUAUUUUGUUGGUUUCUAGGAUCGACGUAAUGAUUAAUAGGGAUAGUUGGGGGCAUUAGUAUUCAAUUGUCAGAGGUGAAAUUCUUGGAUUUAUUGAAGACUAACUACUGCGAAAGCAUUUGCCAAGGAUGUUUUCAUUAAUCAAGAACGAAAGUUAGGGGAUCGAAGACGAUCAGAUACCGUCGUAGUCUUAACCAUAAACUAUGCCGACUAGGGAUCGGAUGAUGUUAAUUUUUUAAUGACUCAUUCGGCGCCUUACG
rnacentral:rRNA from 1 species